rnacentral:rRNA from 1 species
GACCUCAAUCCGGNAGAUCCAU